CCGCCCAAGGAGGGGCUCGCGUCUGAUUAGCUAGUUGGUGAGGCAAUAGCUUACCAAGGCGAUGAUCAGUAGCUGGUCCGAGAGGAUGAUCAGCCACACUGGGACUGAGACACGGCCCAGACUCCUACGGGAGGCAGCAGUGGGGAAUUUUCCGCAAUGGGCGAAAGCCUGACGGAGCAAUGCCGCGUGGAGGUGGAAGGCCUACGGGUCGUCAACUUCUUUUCUCGGAGAAGAAACAAUGACGGUAUCUGAGGAAUAAGCAUCGGCUAACUCUGUGCCAGCAGCCGCGGUAAGACAG
rnacentral:ncRNA from 1 species